ensembl:lncRNA
AUGAUGUGUUACAGCGUGUGUGUCUGCUACUGGGAGGACUGGGAGCUUUAACCAAACACUACGAGAGAGAAUCUGAGUCUGAAUCCAUUAUUACUGUCUGGACCUUUCAGGGUUCUUACUGGGAAUACUGGGACUUCAUUAAAACGGUUUUUAGAAGUUUCUGCUUCUCUCACUUCCCAUACUAAAAACAAAUAAAGCAAACGUUUUGCAAAUAUUCUAGUCGAUUCUAACAUCAAUAUGCUACUGAGCCGUUUUCAAAAGUCGAUUGGAUGAGUUUCAGGGAGAAGAUGAUCUGCAGCAUCCUGCUGCUCAUCAUCCUGACCUCCUGUGUCUCUGGAACAUUUGUAGUGAAUGUGACCCAGACCUCCUAUCAGGCAGAGGAGAACCACGACAUCACACUGGAGUGGACCUUCACAACCAACCCUCACAGUUCCUCCAACUCUCUUAAUAUCUUCUGUGAACUGUUAACUGAUCUCAGACCCUCAGUCCUGUUUCAUCUCCAUGAAGGAGUUGAGGUCCCAGAGUCUCAGGAUGAACAGUUUGCAGGACGAGUCCAGUGGGACAAAGACGUCCUCAGAGAAGGACGACUCAGACUUCAUGUGUCCAGACUCAGGACUGAAGACUCAGGACUGUACAAGUGUCAAGUGUUCACAAGUCAUGAGAGGAGCUCUGGUAAAUGUUGGCUCAAUGUCACUGGUAAGUUGAUUCAGGAAAACUGGAGUUUUU